rnacentral:rRNA from 1 species
GUAGGUGGCAAGCGUUGUCCGGAAUUAUUGGGCGUAGAGCGCGCGCAGGUGGUUCUUUAAGUCUGAUGUGAAAGCCCCCGGCUCAACCGGGGAGGGUCAUUGGAAACUGGGGAACUUGAGUGCAGGAGAGGAAAGUGGAAUUCCACGUGUAGCGGUGAAAUGCGUAGAUAUGUGGAGGAACACCAGUGGCGAAGGCGACUUUCUGGCCUGUAACUGGCACUGAGGCGCGAAAGCGUGGGGAGCAAACAGGGAUUAGAUACCCUGGUAGUCCACGCCGUAAACGAUGAGUGCUAAGUGUUGGGGGGGGUUUCCGCCCCCUCAGUGCUGCAGCUAACGCAUUAAGCACUCCGCCUGGGAGUACGGUCGCAAGACUG